AUAUAGAUCACCAAUGACAUCGCUAAAGAGCGCACACCCAAGGUUGCUCCCAACAGAAUAUCGAGGGCCAAACCUAAAACCCAAGCAGUUA
rnacentral:tRNA from 1 species